rnacentral:misc_RNA from 1 species
AAGUCGUAACAAGGUUUCCGUAGGUGAACCUGCGGAAGGAUCAUUAUCGAGUCUUACCCAGCUUAUUUUGGCUGUGCAUUCACUUGCACGCCGAACGAGCUGGCUCUUUGCUCACUCACACACCUGUGCACCUUCGGAUGCGUCGCAAGACCUGUCUGGAUUUUUUUUACACCUUUUUUGUAUGUCUUCGAAUGUUACACGGUCGCUCUGUGAUGGGGUGCACCUUUAAAUACAAUACAACUUUCAGCAACGGAUCUCUUGGCUCUCC